rfam:Stegodyphus mimosarum contig126245, whole genome shotgun sequence.
GCCUUCGUGGUGUUGUGGUUAGCACACUCGGCGCGUAUUCUAGAAGUCUGGGGUUCGAAUCCCGGCAAGGGCA